GGACCCUGGGGCUCUUUGGGAGGGAGCAGGUUGGGGGGAGAUUUGUCCUGGGUUAUGGAUGAAGGCACAGGCCGUAAGGGUGUCUCAGGAUGGGGGAGAGAGAUAGUUCGUGGAGAUGCCUCACCGUAUAUGGGAUAACACAUUGGGGGGUUUCCUGGCACAAUGGGAAAGGGACAGGUUGCAAGGAGAUGGGCGUCCCAGGACUUUGUAUAAGGGAACGGUUCGGGGUGGGUGUCCCUGGACUUGGUGUGUGUAUGUGCUUGUGUGUGUGUGUGUGUAGCAUCCCUCGAGGUAUCCUGGAGCUGUGGGGCUCACCUAGUUUCUUCCUGUUGGAGAACGGACUGUUAGACCUUUGGCAUCCCGGGGGAAAGUACUGACCACGUACAAGCCGCGGAUGCCCAGGCCCCAGUUCUGCAGGCUCCUUCAUUCUGCGGCUCUGGCCCUGGACUGUGGUGAUGUCAAGCCAGUUGGCAUUGCCUCACUUGGGUGCCUCCUCCCAUCUUCGCUUUUGAUCAUGUCUCUACAGCCUUAGAAAUAAGGAGUCUUUAUAUUUCUACAGAUGUGUCAGUCUUUAAGCAAAUCCUGUCUACAAUCCUUGAGUUUAUUCAAAAGCUUAAUUUAGGGAUCUUUUAAAAAACCCUGAAUUUCCCAGUUGAGUUCCUAUGGGAUUCUUUGAGAGGACAAGCUCCCCCAUGCAGUUAACACCAGUCAGUUUAUGGAAAAUCUGCUUAAUUUGACAAAUGUUGAGUUAAAGUGUCCACUAUGCUCAAAGCACUGUUGUGGGGAAUCUCAGAGAAGAGCAAGACAAGGCCCUAACCCUCCAGGAACCUUGUCUGGCUGGGAAGAUGAGACAGAUACCUGUGAAAUAGGCAAUGAUUUUAGGAGAGAACUGUCGGCUCAUGACUGAGCUUUCACUAUUGUACUACACUUUCUGACAUGAUGGGAUCAGGCAGACCAGCCUCAACCUGUGUUCAUCUAGCAUCUAGUGUCCAACUGGAUGGGAGGAGUGACCCCAGGAAACUUCAGACCCAGGUGCUUCCCUGGUGGCGCAGUGGAUAAGAAUCUGCCUGCUAAGGCAGAGGACACGGGUUCAGCCCUGGUCCAGGAAGAUCCCACAUGCCACGGAGCAGCUAAGCCCAUGCACCACCACUACUGAACCUGCACUCUAGAGCCCGCGAGCCACAACUACUGAGCCCGCGUGCCACAACUACUGAAGCCCACAUGCCUAGAGCCUGUGCUUCGCAACAAGAGAAGCCACCGCAACGAGAAGCCUGCACACUGCAGUGAAGAGUAGCCCCCGCUUGCUGCAACUAGAGAAAGCCCGCGUGCAGCAACGAACACCCAA